rnacentral:rRNA from 1 species
GCGUCUAAAGAGGAGCCUGCGGCGGAUUAGCUAGUUGGUAAGGUAACGGCUUACCAAGGCGAUGAUCCGUAGCCGGCCUGAGAGGGCGGUCGGCCACACUGACACUGACAUACGGGUCAG